rnacentral:rRNA from 1 species
GCAGCGAAACGCGAUAGGUAAUGUGAAUUGCAGAAUUCCGUGAAUCAUCGAAUCUUUGAACGCACCUUGCGCUCCAUGGUAUUCCGUGGAGCAUGCCUGUUUGAGUGCCGCGAAUUCUCCCUCCCCUUACGGUGGCCGAAAGGCCGAAGUAGGGCGGACGGGGUAGGAUGGGUGUUGCUGCCUGGGGAUUGUACCAGGCUCGCCCGAAAUGCAUAAGCGCCAGGACCCUCGCUACCGCUCUCUAGGGAAGAGUGGCUAAGCGACCGCUGAGCAUGGCAUGAUACGUCAUUUGCUGUGUGUGGGCGGCCGGUUGGAGAGGUGUCUGCUUUACCAGCCCUUUUUUAAUUCUGGUCUCAAAUCAGGUAGGAUCACCCGCUGAACUUAAGCAUAUCAU